rnacentral:rRNA from 1 species
AUGGAGGCACGGACAAGCUCGCCGGCGGCCGCCGCCGCGCCGCUUCCCCCGGGACGAUCUCCUCCGGGAGAUAUUCCUGCGCCUCCCGCCGGAGCCGAUCCACCUCUUCCGCGCCUCUUUCGUCUGCAAGCACUGGCGCGGCCUCGUCCACGACGCCCGCUUCCUCCACCGCUUCCGCAAUUUGCAUGGCGGCACGCCUCCCGUGCUCGGCUUCUUCAACCAGAAAGGGCCCUCGUCCCCACCUUCGGCAACUUCGCGCUCUCCACCGCCACAAUGUCCCCAGAUGACUGGUGGGCCCUCGACUGCCGCCACGGCCGCGCCCUCGUUGAGAGCUGCCGCACUGGGACGCUGCUUGUUUGGGACCUCGUGACCGGCGACAAGCAGUACCUGCCGCUCCCCGCGCAUGACUGUUCUGGGUACAAUGGCGUGGUUCUGUGUGCGGCUGGCCACACCGACCACCGCGACUGCCAUUUGUGCCCAUUUCUCGUGGCGUUCGUGUUCAGUGACGACAGAGAUUUCAUCACCUCCGCAUGCGUCUUCUCGUCCGAGACCGGUGCCUGGGGUGAGAUCACUUUGAUUGUUAUACCAGAUGCAUUAGUUCUGCCAAAGCCGACAGCUCUGAUUGGAAACACAAUCUACUUCCUGUUGGAUAACAAUAGCAUCAUUGAGUUCGUUUUGGAUAAGCAUAGCUUGGAUUUAGUUGAGGAGGUGCCAUAUACCUACGAUCAGACUAUCAUCAUGCCGACAAAGGAUGGAUGCCUCGGUUUAGCUGGAGUGGAACGAUUCAAUUUCAAUUUUAAUCUGUGGUCAGAGGUGGCGAGCAUUGACGGGGUGGUGACAUGGACACAUCUAAGGGUCAUUGAACUCGAAAAAAUUCUUGCGCCUGAGGCAGUGUCAGCGUGUAUGGUUGGAGCUAUUGGAGCGCAUGCAGUUGGUUGUGCGGUAGAUGCGGAUGUGAUCUUCAUCGACGUGUAUCCUAGGAUCUAUAUGAUCCAUCUCAAGUCCAUGAAGAUCGAGGAGGUGUCUAAGUAA